rnacentral:rRNA from 1 species
CCUUUUGCAUAAUGAGCCUACGAGUUACUCCUCACUAGCAAGGUUAAGGAAUUAAGUUCCGGAGCCGAAGCGAAAGCAAGUCUGAAUAGGGCGUUUAGUUAGUGGGGGUAGACGCGAAACCAUGUGAUCUACCCAUGGCCAGGUUGAAGCUCUGGUAACACAGAGUGGAGGACCGAACCAGUUGACGUUGAAAAGUCUUUGGAUGAGCUGUGGGUAGGGGUGAAAGGCCAAUCAAACUUGGAAAUAGCUCGUACUCCCCGAAAUGUAUUUAGGUACAGCCUUGAGUUAUAGUGAUAUAGAGGUAGAGCUACUGAUAGGGCUAGGGGGCUUCACCGCCUACCAAACCCUGACAAACUCCGAAUGCUAUAUCAUGUUCCUCAGGAGUGAGGGCGCGGGUGCUAAGGUCCGUGUCCGAGAGGGAAACAACCCAGAUCAUCAGCUAAGGUCCCUAAAUGUAUGUUAAGUUGUUCAAACGUGGUCCGACUGCUUAGACAGCUAGGAUGUUGGCUUGGAAGCAGCCAUUCAUUUAACGAGUGCGUAACAGCUCACUAGUCGAGCGGUUGGGCGUGGAUAAUAAUCGGGCAUAAAACAUAUUACCGAAGCUAUGAGAUCGAAAGAUCGGUAGGGGAGCAUUCUAGUUGUGCUGAAGGUGUGUCGUAAGGCAUGCUGGAACGGCUAGAAAAGAAAAUGUAGGCAUAAGUAACGAUAAAGGGGGCGAGAAACCCCCUCACCGAAAGACUAAGGUUUCCUGAUCAACGCUAAUCGGAUCAGGGUUAGUCGGGACCUAAGGCAAACCCGAAAGGGGUAGUCGAUGGAUAACAGGUUAAUAUUCCUGUACUAGCAUUAAUUGCGAUGGGGUGACGGAGUAGUGAAAGGACUGCGUACUGACGGAAUAGUACGUUAAAGGGUGUAGGUAUAAGAACUGUAGGUAAAUCCGCAGAUCUUGCUGAACCUGAUAGUACCACGAGCCUUCGGGCAAGUGGAUAAUGUCCCUAAUCAGACUUCCAAGAAAAACCUCUAAGCUUCAGAUUAAUGCUACCCGUACCGCAAACCGACACAGGUAGUUGAGGAGAGAAUCCUAAGGUGCUCGAGUGAUUCGUGGUUAAGGAACUAGGCAAAAUCGCCCUGUAACUUCGGGAGAAAGGGCGCCAUCAGCAAUGAUGGCCGCAGUGAAAAGAUCCAAGCGACUGUUUAUCAAAAACACAUGGCUUUGCUAAAUUGAAAGAUGAUGUAUAAGGCCUGACACCUGCCCGGUGCUGGAAGGUUAAAAGGAGAUGUUAUCCUCGGAGAAGCAUUGAAUUGAAGCCCCAGUAAACGGCGGCCGUAACAAUA